UCACAGUUUUUCAUCUGGAAAAUGCAAUGCCC
rnacentral:piRNA from 1 species